rnacentral:misc_RNA from 1 species
AAUGAUAACUGCUUGCUCUGUAUCUUCCAAUCCCUGAAUCUCGGCUAGUUUUGGGCUGUUACCCAGAAAAAUUACAUCCAGUAGUUCAUUUGAUUUUAGUGAUAUUCUUUCCACUGAUGUGCAGUUUAUUACAAAAAAAAGUCCUUAAACUUGACGGAAGCUCUGAGAUUGAUUUGAGAUUUCUGCAGGAAGUCAGCCCCAAUAGAGUAAGCUUAGGAAGAUAUCCAAUACCGAUGGGAAGAUUAAAUAAGUCGUUUCCUUCCAAUUCCAAAAGUCUGAGUGAUGAUAAUCUCCCAAGAUCAAUGGGAACUACAUCCUCAGAUAAACUACAGUCGUGAAGAAAUAGCUGUGUCAAUGAACUCAACCCAGACAAGGAAGUUGGCAGCAAAACAUUGGAAUUUGAUCUUCUUGACAAAAGACAUGAUGCAAAUUGUGAUAACCAAGAGACAGAUUGUAAGGCAUCUUUCGAUCCACCCAACAAUAAUUUUGUAAGGUUUUUCAGAUGUCCAAUGGAAGAGGGGAGCUGCUUAAUGGCAGUUCCAUCUACCAGAAGCUCAGUUAAGGCUUCCAUGCUACCCAAGCUGUCGGGCAAUCUAUCAAGUUUUGAGCAGCUAGAAAUGUUGAGAGUUUCAAGAGCUGUCAAGUAACAAAUGCUUUCGGGAAGAUUCUUUAGGCUUUUGCAGCCCUCCAUGUUCAAGAAAACAAGUUUCUUCACAUAUCCAAUGGACUGGUGGACCUCAACUAAACUUGUGCAGCCUUCAAGAAUUAAUCUCUCCAGACUGGGGAGUCCUGAGAAGUUUGGUGUUUUAGUGAGGUGUACACAGUGUCUGAGAUCAAGAAUCUGCAAUUUCUUGAGAACCUUGUGGUUCUUGAGUACUCCCAAAGCAUCCUCAUGAAACCAAAGUCUGCUGCGUUUACCAGGAUGGUUUGGUGAUGCUACUCGGACAAUCUCUCUUCCCAUAUCCCGCAACAGAUCAUGCAUCACCAAUCUAUUCCAACAAUCAAUUUUCACUAGAGACCUUUGGAUGAGAACACGAAUCCCAAUUUCUGGAAAGAAACCGCAUCCAUCCAGUAUUUUAGCUACAUGAUCUUUAUCUACACCAGCAAAGAAGCAAGCAAUAUCAAGAAAUAUAUCCUUUAUUUUAUCAUCGUCCAAUGUAUCAAAACUU